rfam:Medicago truncatula strain A17 chromosome 4, whole genome shotgun sequence.
AUAUAAGUAAAAUUGACUUUUUAGGUUCAUUCAAUUAAUGAUGUAUGUGGUUCAUAUUAUAGACCACAUACAUCAUUAAUUGAAUGAACUAAAAAAGUCAAUUUUACUUAUAU